GGACAGUUCGUCGCCCGCAUUCGUGUGAUGCGUGAGGAAAGUCCGGGCAGCACAGGGCAUUCCGCUUCUUAAUGGGAAGUCGUCUGUGAAGGCGAACUCGUGCAGAAGAAAAUAACCGCCGGCGCAAGGUUUCGCACCGCACGCCGGUAAGGGUGAGAAGGUGGGGUAAGAGCCCACCGGUUGCCGUGGUGACACGGCAAGCCGUGCACUUCGGAAGCUGAAAGUUCAUGUAAACCGACGUUGGAGGGCGGCUCGUUCGAUUCUCUUCGGAGAAACGUCGGAGGGUAGAACGAUAGAAUGUGUCGGCGACGGCACAUCCAGAUAAAUGACGAACACUUUGCACCGCAAAGCACAAAACCCGGCUCAUCGGCCGACUGUU
rnacentral:RNase_P_RNA from 1 species